UUGUGAUCUAAGAAAAUGCAGGGAAUAAUCUCAGUUGGAUUGGGAAUGAAGAUGUCAAACUCCCUCUCUUUGCAGAUGACAUGAUUCUUUAUAUGGAAAACCCAAAAGACUCCACCCC